rnacentral:rRNA from 1 species
GGGAUCCCUGGGUUCUACGCGGUCGCCCUAGUAACUCGUGCGUGACCUGCCUGUUGGACUGGGAUAACUCCUGGAAACCGGGGCUAAUACCGGAUAAUUCUUUCCCUCACCUGAGGAAGGGGUGAUCGAUGGUUGCGGCUAUCACUUACCGAUGGAUCCGUAGCGCAUUAGCUAGUUGGUGAGGUAACGGUUCACCAAGGCCACUAUGCGUAGCCAACCUGAGAGGGUGAUCGGUCACACUGGGACUGAGACCCGGCCCAUACUCCUACGGGAGGCGGCAGUAGGGAAUCUUCCGCAAUGGACCAAAGUCUGACGGAGCAACGCCGCGUGAGUGGUGAAGGUUUUCGGAUCGUAUAACUCUGUUGAUAGGGAAGAACAAGUACCGGAGUAACUGCCGGUACCUUGACGGUACCUAACCAGAAAGCCACGGCUAACUACGUGCCAGCAGCCGCGGGAAUACGGAAGUGGCAAGCGUUGUCCGGAAUUAUUGGGCGUAAAGCGC